UUCUCUUAUCUGACCAUAAAUAAGAUGGUCUGUUAACUGUCAAGAUGGAUCCAUGAUGUCUGGGAAAGUGAUUCUAAAGUGUCAAAGAAGAGUCCCUCCUAAUUGAUUUAAGUUGGGAGAGGUCAAAGUUUAAGUUGUGUAAUGAAGCCAUAUAUAUGUGUUAAUU